CCUACGGUGGGCAGCAGUGAGGAAUAUUGGUCAAUGGGCGCGAGCCUGAACCAGCCAAGUAGCGUGAAGGAUGACUGCCCUACGGGUUGUAAACUUCUUUUAUCAAGGAAUAAAGUGAGGCACGUGUGCCUUUUUGUAUGUACUUUAUGAAAAAGCAUCGGCUACCUCCGUGCCAGCAGCCGCGUUACUACGGAGGAUGCUAGCGUUAUCCGGAUUUAUUGGGUUUAAAGUGUGCGUAGGGGGUCCGUUAAGUCAGCGGUAAAAUUGCGGGGCUCAACCCCGUCGAGACGUUGACACUGGCAGACUUGAGUUGGCGAGAAGUACGCGGAAGGCGCGGUGUAGCGGUGAAAUGCAUAGAUAUCGCGCAGAACUCCGAUUGCGAAGGCAGCGUACCGGCGCCAGACUGACGCUGAGGCACGAAAGCGUGGGGAUCGAACAGGAUUAGAUACCCGUGUAGUC
rnacentral:rRNA from 1 species